AUUGAACGCUGGCGGCAUGCCUUACACAUGCAAGUCGAACGGUAACAGGUCUUCGGAUGCUGACGAGUGGCGAACGGGUGAGUAAUACAUCGGAACGUGCCUAGUAGUGGGGGAUAACUACUCGAAAGAGUGGCUAAUACCGCAUGAGAUCUACGGAUGAAAGCAGGGGAUCGCAAGACCUUGUGCUACUAGAGCGGCCGAUGGCAGAUUAGGUAGUUGGUGGGAUAAAAGCUUACCAAGCCGACGAUCUGUAGCUGGUCUGAGAGGACGAUCAGCCACACUGGGACCGAGACACGGCCCAGACUCCUACGGGAGGCAGCAGUGGGGAAUCUUGGACAAUGGGCGCAAGCCUGAUCCAGCAAUGCCGCGUGCAGGAUGAAGGCCUUCGGGUUGUAAACUGCUUUUGUACGGAACGAAAAGCCCUGGGUUAAUACCCUGGGGUCAUGACGGUACCGUAAGAAUAAGCACCGGCUAACUACGUGCCAGCAGCCGCGGUAAGAC
rnacentral:rRNA from 1 species